GUGACCGGCUGCUGCGGGAGCGGGCGCUGAAGAUCCGCGAGGAGCGCAGUGGCCUGACCACCGAUGAUGACGCCAUGAGCGAGAUGAAGAUGGGGCGUUACUGGAGCAAGGAGGAGCGCAAGCAACAUCUGGUGAAGGCCAAAGAGCAGAGGCGGAGGCGCGAGUUCAUGAUGCAGAGCAGGCUGGAUUGUCUGAAGGAGCAGCAGGCCUCCGACGACAGGAAGGAGAUGAACAUCCUGGAACUGAGCCACAAAAAGAUGAUGAAGAAGAGGAACAAAAAGAUCUUUGACAAUUGGAUGACUAUCCAAGAACUCUUAACCCAUGGCACAAAAUCGCCAGAUGGCACUAGGGUAUACAAUUCCUUCCUGUCGGUGACUACUGUAUAACUCUCACUUGUGUACAUACGAGAGACCACUACCGUUGGGGUAGACAUCCCUGCCUCGUUCAAUGCGGCAAGUUUUUGUAUAUAUAAGCCCAGCCAUCAUGUUGAUAGUUUAAAUUUGCCACUCCUACAACUUUGGGUGUCCUGGCUCUGUUUUCAGUGGAGGGAAAAACACACCCUUACUCUCUUAGAAGGCAAUAUUAACAAGCAGCUUUUUUUCAAAUAGCAAUGGUAAUUUUUUACUUGUUAACCUUUUUCAUAAAGUGUUUAAAUUUCCAAAAGAUCUUUUAUUAAGCAUACUUUCACAGAAUAAUUUGUUUAAACUAUAUUCAUAUUAAAAAAAAAGGUUAAACACGCUUUUUUUCUGCCUAAAACACAAAAUGCAACUGCCAGUAUGUAUUUUUAAUGGGACCCUAUUUUGUAAGGUCACUUCACUGAAUGUGUUUCAUACAGGUCACCAUUCAUACAGCUUAUAUCAGUUGGGAUUUCAACGCAAACCCGCCAAAGUCUGGUUAGUGAUCUCUCUCUCUCUCACACACACACACACACACACACACACACACACACACACACACACAAACCAAACUAGCAGUGUUUCUAGUCGGAUGUCCAUUUUUAACAUUUUUCUGGUUAAGGUUCCCAAGAAGAGUGUCAAGGUUUUAACAGAAAGCAAAAUCUCCUGCAGCUUUGUGGAUGCUAAAAGCAUGUUUGCAAAUAUUGCCGCCCGUUGGAAGAAUUUGCAUGUACAGGGAAGUCGUGGAUGGAGGCCGUUUGUGGAGUUUUAAGUGCUCAUUGUUGUAGAACCUUGCUUUGUAGAUUGGAAGGGACAGACUUAACCAAGCAAGUUCACAGGAUCAUGAUUAGUUAACAAACAUCAAGUAAAAUGAAGUUAAAAUAAAUUAUUAUUUUCUACUUGA
rnacentral:lncRNA from 1 species